rnacentral:rRNA from 1 species
UACAGAGGGGGCAAGCGUUGUCCGGAAUUACUGGGCGUACAGCGCGCGCAGGCGGUGGCCGACGUGCCGUGUGACAAGCGGGGCUCAACCCCCGAGGGCCACGGUAAACGGGGUGACUGGAGGACGGGAGAGGGAUGUGGAAUGCCCGGUGGAGCGGUGAAAUGCGCAGAUAUCAGGAGGAACACCGGUGGCGAAGGCGGGUCUCUGGGCCGAUACUGACGCUGAGGAGCGAAAGCGUGGGGAGCGAACAGG